rnacentral:misc_RNA from 1 species
AAAAGUCGUAACAAGGUUUCCGUAGGUGAACCUGCGGAAGGAUCAUUAAUAAUAACUUGUGGGCUAGAAGCAAUUUUAGCCUCACUAACAACACCUUGUGAACUAAUAGCCCUUACGGGCCGCUUAGGCAAUCUCUGGAUUGUCUCGGUAAACCAAACCUUUAGUAUACUUUGUAGACUUAAAAAAACACAAACUUAAUACAACCUUUAACAAUGGAUCUCUUGGCUCCUG